UAUGUUUUACUUUUUUUCAUAUCACUAUUUCUCUCAUUCUUCGGGCAUCACCACCGAGUCUCACUACUCCGAUCCACCAGGCCAGCACCACAACUGUAUCUCACAACUAUCACAAUCAUCAUCACCAUCAAUACUAAAUCUCGCUAAUUCCGACCCACCACCUUCAUCAAUAUUUACCGCCACCACCACCAAGGUUGAACCACAAUCAUCAACACCAACACCACCGUUACCACAUCUUCCCCUCUUUCCCCAACUGCUCUUAUUUCUCCACCUUCUUUAUCUCCUCCGACAUCGGGUUGAGCUUCUUCGACAACAACUCUAUUUUAUAUCCAUCGCCGUUCAUAAUUCUUAAUAUGCAUCCAUCGCCAUAUAUUCUCAAUUUGUCUAUAUAUCUAUUUGUUUAUCUAUAGAGGUGAGUAUUUAAAA
rnacentral:lncRNA from 1 species